AGUAAGUGAUUUCCCUUUACAGUAAGAUGAACAUUUGAUGAAAAGAAAUGGGAUUUUCUGAAGUACAUCUGACACAAUUUGCUUCCAACUGGUUAUUACAGAAUAUUGAGCCGAGUUCCCUGGGCUAGACAGUUCUCAUUUAGUCAACAUCCCCUAAGACUUGGAGUUCAGAGACUAUGACCAUCUCUCUCCUCUACCCGGAACCAUUCGUAGUGCUCACAUAAUGAAACAACAGGAGAAGCAUAAUAUCCUGAUGUGCCAUCCCAUGUAACUAUUCUAUAGAACUACUUAAUACAUUGCUUAGGACUACUUUGAGGAGCUUCCCUGGUGGCGCAGUGGUUGAGAGUCUGCCUGCUGAUGCAGGGGACACGGGUUCGUGCCCCGGUCCGGGAAGAUCCCACAUGCCGCGGAGCGGCUGGGCCCGUGAGCCAUGGCUGCUGAGCCUGCGCGUCUGGAGCCUGUGCUCCACAACGGGAGAGGCCACAACAGUGAGAGG